GAUGAAGAACGUAGUGAAAUGCGAUACGUAAUGUGAAUUGCAGAAUUCAGUGAAUCAUCGAAUCUUUGAACGCACAUUGCGCCCGCCAGCAUUCUGGCGGGCAUGCCUGUUCGAGCGUCAUUUCAACCCUCGAGCCCCCCCGGGGGCCUCGGUGUUGGGGGACGGCACACCAGCCGCCCCCGAAAUGCAGUGGCGACCCCGCCGCAGCCUCCCCUGCGUAGUAGCACACACCUCGCACCGGAGCGCGGAGGCGGUCACGCCGUAAAACGCCCAACUUUCUUAGAGUUGACCUCGGAUCAGGUAGGAAUACCCGCUGAACUUAAGCAUAUCAAUAAGCGGAGGA
rnacentral:misc_RNA from 1 species